AAAACUUUUUGGGUUCCUUUUUGUUCUGCCAAAAACUUAGCAUUGCCAGAGUAGAAAUACGAAACUUAUGUUCAAAAGUAGCACGUCAAAUGGAGUCCACAUAGAAUGGAACAUAACUUAAAUAUGUAUGAAAGUGAUUUUAAAUCAAAUCAAAAACAGGACACCCCUAGGACAGCCCAAUUCCUUAAGGUUUUUUACAAGGUAGACUAAGCAGACAGCGUCUUUGGAGAUGUUGAAAAGCAAAAAAAAACUAUUGCUUAUUUAUAUAAAUUAUGAAUGUACAUAAUAGCAUAUUAAACUAAGUAAAUGGUGCAAUAAAAACACAAAUUUUCUAUUUUUAUAAUUUUUUUAUUAUUUAUAAAACCCGUACAUGUUUGAUGGUCACACGUAAAUUGGAAAGGACCUAAAAAUAUAUAAAAGAAAAAAACCAUUACAAAAA